CAAAGAAUAGUUUAAUCCAGAAUCCUAGCUUUGGGGGCUAGGGAUGGGAGUUCGAAUCUCUCUUCUUUGA
rnacentral:tRNA from 1 species